rnacentral:rRNA from 1 species
AACGAACGCUGGCGGCAGGCUUAACACAUGCAAGUCGAGCGCAUCCUUCGGGGUGAGCGGCGGACGGGUGAGUAACGCGUGGGAACGUGCCCUCUUCUGCGGAAUAGCCCAGGGAAACUUGGACUAAUGCCGUAUACGCCCUUCGGGGGAAAGAUUUAUCGGAGGAGGAUCGGCCCGCGUUGGAUUAGGUAGUUGGUGAGGUAACGGCUCACCAAGCCGACGAUCCAUAGCUGGUUUGAGAGGAUGAUCAGCCACACUGGGACUGAGACACGGCCCAGACUCCUACGGGAGGCAGCAGUGGGGAAUCUUGGACAAUGGGGGAAACCCUGAUCCAGCCAUGCCGCGUGAUCGAUGAAGGCCUUAGGGUUGUAAAGAUCUUUCAGCUGGGAAGAUAAUGACUGUACCAGCAGAAGAAGCCCCGGCUAACUCCGUGCCAGCCGCCGCCGUAAGAC